rnacentral:rRNA from 1 species
UCCGUAGGUGGCAAGCGUUGUCCGGAAUUAUUGGGCGUAAAGCGCGCGCAGGCGGUCCUUUAAGUCUGAUGUGAAAGCCCACGGCUCAACCGUGGAAGGUCAUUGGAAACUGGAGGACUUGAGUACAGAAGAGGAAAGCGGAAUUCCACGUGUAGCGGUGAAAUGCGUAGAGAUGUGGAGGAACACCAGUGGCGAAGGCGGCUUUCUGGUCUGUAACUGACGCUGAGGCGCGAAAGCGUGGGGAGCAAACAGG